UGCAAGUCGAACGAAGCUGCAUAUAGGAAGCCUUCGGGUGGAAUAGAUGUAGACUUAGUGGCGGACGGGUGAGUAACGCGUGAGCAACCUGCCCAUAAGAGGGGGACAACAGUUGGAAACGACUGCUAAUACCGCAUAAGACCACGCUAUCGCAUGAUAGAGGGGUCAAAGAAAUAUCGCUUAUGGAUGGGCUCGCGUCCCAUUAGGUAGUUGGUGAGGUAACGGCUCACCAAGCCGACGAUGGGUAGCCGACCUGAGAGGGUGAUCGGCCACAUUGGAACUGAGACACGGUCCAAACUCCUACGGGAGGCAGCAGUAGGGAAUAUUGGGCAAUGGGGGCAACCCUGACCCAGCAACGCCGCGUGAGGGAAGAAGGUUCUCUGGAUUGUAAACCUCUGUCCUAUGGGACGAAUAGAUGACGGUACCAUAGGAGGAAGCUCCGGCUAACUACGUGCCAGCAGCCGCGGUAAUACGUAGGGAGCGAGCGUUGUCCGGAAUUACUGGGCGUAAAGGGUGCGUAGGCGGCCUGGUAAGUCAGAUGUGAAAUACCC
rnacentral:rRNA from 1 species